rnacentral:misc_RNA from 1 species
GAUGAAGAACGUAGCGAAAUGCGAUAAGUAAUGUGAAUUGCAGAAUUCAGUGAAUCAUCGAAUCUUUGAACGCACCUUGCGCUCCUUGGUAUUCCGAGGAGCAUGCCUGUUUGAGUGUCAUUAAAUUCUCAACCACACUAGCUUUUGCGGCUGGCUGUGGCUUGGAUUAUGGGAUUUCUGCGGGCCUCAUAUAAAUGGUCGGCUUCCCUGAAAUGCAUUAGUGAAACCGUUUGCGGUUCGUCACCGGUGUGAUAAUUAUCUACGCCGCGACAACAGGACUGCUCUCUGUCUGUUUCGCUUACAACCGUCCAAGUGUGGACAACUUUUGAAAAUUUGACCUCAAAUCAGGUAGGACUACCCGCUGAACUUAAGCAUAUCAAUAAGCGGAGGA